UCUGGUGGCGAGUGGCGAACGGGUGAGUAAUAUAUCGGAACGUACCCUAGAGUGGGGGAUAACGUAGCGAAAGUUACGCUAAUACCGCAUACGAUCUAAGGAUGAAAGUGGGGGAUCGCAAGACCUCAUGCUCGUGGAGCGGCCGAUAUCUGAUUAGCUAGUUGGUAGGGUAAAAGCCUACCAAGGCAUCGAUCAGUAGCUGGUCUGAGAGGACGACCAGCCACACUGGAACUGAGACACGGUCCAGACUCCUACGGGAGGCAGCAGUGGGGAAUUUUGGACAAUGGGCGAAAGCCUGAUCCAGCAAUGCCGCGUGAGUGAAGAAGGCCUUCGGGUUGUAAAGCUCUUUUGUCAGGGAAGAAACGGUGAGAGCUAAUAUCUCUUGCUAAUGACGGUACCUGUAGAAUAAGCACCGGCUAACUACGUGCCAGCAGCCGCGGGAAUACGUAGGGUGCAAGCGUUAAUCGGAAUUACUGGGCGUAAAGCGUGCGCAGGCGGUUUUGUAAGUCUGAUGUGAAAUCCCCGGGCUCAACCUGGGAAUUGCAUUGGAGACUGCAAGGCUAGAAUCUGGCAGAGGGGGGUAGAAUUCCACGUGUAGCAGUGAAAUGCGUAGAUAUGUGGAGGAACACCGAUGGCGAAGGCAGCCCCCUGGGUCAAGAUUGACGCUCAUGCACGAAAGCGUGGGGAGCAA
rnacentral:rRNA from 1 species